rnacentral:tRNA from 1 species
AUAGGUAUAGUUUAAUAAAAACAUCAGAUUGUGAUUCUAAAAACAGAAGUUAAAAUCCUCUUACCUAUC